UCCCUGGUGGCUCAGACGGUAAAGAAUCUGCCUGCAAUGCAGGAGAACCAGGUUUGAUUCCUGGGUUGGGAA
rfam:TPA: Bos taurus chromosome 6, whole genome shotgun sequence.